GUGGCGCACGGGUGAGUAACGCGUGAAUAACCUGACCCGAAGAGGGGGAUAACACCUGGAAACAAGUGCUAAUACCGCAUAAGACCACGGACCGGCAUCGGUCAGAGGUCAAAGGAGGAAUCCGCUUUGGGAGGGGUUCGCGUCCCAUUAGGUAGUUGGUGAGGUAACGGCCCACCAAGCCGACGAUGGGUAGCCGAGCUGAGAGGCUGAUCGGCCACACUGGAACUGAGACACGGUCCAGACUCCUACGGGAGGCAGCAGUGGGGAAUAUUGGGCAAUGGGCGCAAGCCUGACCCAGCAACGCCGCGUGAGGGAAGAAGGUUUUCGGAUUGUAAACCUCUGUCGCAGGGGACGAAGGAAGUGACGGUACCCUGUAAGAAAGCCCCGGCUAACUACGUGCCAGCAGCCGCGGUAAUACGUAGGGGGCGAGCGUUGUCCGGAAUUACUGGGCGUAAAGGGAGCGUAGGCGGUCGAUUAAGUUAGAUGUGAAACCCCCGGGCUUAACUUGGGGACUGCAUCUAAUACUGGUUGACUUAGAGUACAGGAGAGGGAAGCGGAAUUCCUAGUGUAGCGGUGAAAUGCGUAGAUAUUAGGAGGAACACCAGUGGCGAAGGCGGCUUUCUGGACUGACACUGACGCUGAGGCUCGAAAGCGUGGGGAGCAAACAGGAUUAGAUACCCAGGGUAGUCCACGCUGUAAACGAUGAAUUACUAGGUGUAGGGGGGUAUCAAACUCCCCUCUGUGCCGGCAGCAAACGCAAAUAAGUAAUCCACCUUGGGGAGUACGGCCGCAAGGGCUGAAACUCAAAGGAAUUGACGGGGGCCCGCACAAGCAGUGGAGUAUGUGGUUUUAAUUCGAAGCAACGCGAAGAACCUUACCAGGUCUUGACAUCGAGUGACGUAUCUAGAGAUAGAUAUUUCCUUCGGGACACGAAGACAGGUGGUGCAUGGUUGUCGUCAGCUCGUGUCGUGAGAUGUUGGGUUAAGUCCCGCAACGAGCGCAACCCUUACUAUUAGUUGCUACGCAAGAGCACUCUAAUAGGACUGCCGUUGACAAAACGGAGGGAGGUGGGGAUGACGUCAAAUCAUCAUGCCCUUUAUGACCUGGGCUACACACGUACUACAAUGGCGUUUAACAAAGGGAAGCAAAGCCGCGAGGCAGAGCAAACCCCCAAAAAACGUCUCAGUUCAGAUUGCAGGCUGCAACUCGCCUGCAUGAAGUCGGAAUUGCUAGUAAUCGUAGGUCAGCAUACUACGGUGAAUACGUUCCCGGGCCUUGUACACACCGCCCGUCA
rnacentral:rRNA from 1 species